rnacentral:rRNA from 1 species
GACGAACGCUGGCGGCGCGCUUAACACAUGCAAGUCGAACGGAAAGGCCUGCUUUCCCUUGUGGAUUGCGGGUACUCGAGUGGCGAACGGGUGAGUAACACGUGAGUGAUCUGCCCCCAACUUGGGUAUAAGCCUGGGAAACUGGGUCUAAUUCCCGAUAGGACUGCAGGGUGGUGCCUGUGGUGGAAAACGAUUUUCUAGUGGUUGGGGAUGAGCUCGCGGCCUAUCAGCUUGUUGGUGGGGUAAUGGCCUACCAAGGCGGCGACGGGUAGCCGGCCUGAGAGGGUGGACGGCCACAUUGGGACUGAGAUACGGCCCAGACUCCUACGGGAGGCAGCAGUGGGGAAUAUUGCACAAUGGGCGGAAGCCUGAUGCAGCGACGCCGCGUGGGGGAUGACGGACUUCGGGUUGUAAACUCCUUUCGACCGCGAGGAAGCCACCUGGUUGGAAGGGUGGUGACGGUAGUGGUAGAAGAAGCACCGGCUAACUACGUG